rnacentral:rRNA from 1 species
GACGAACGCUGGCGGCGUGCUUAACACAUGCAAGUCGAACGGAAAGGCCCCUUUUGGGGUACUCGAGUGGCGAACGGGUGAGUAACACGUGCGUAACCUGCCCUUGACUUCGGGAUAACUUCAGGAAACUGGGGCUAAUACCGGAUAGGAAUCCUUGCUGCAUGGUGGGGGUUGGAAAGCUUCGGCGGUUUUGGAUGGACUCGCGGCUUAUCAGCUUGUUGGUGGGGUAGUGGCUUACCAAGGCUUUGACGGGUAGCCGGCCUGAGAGGGCGACCGGCCACAUUGGGGCUGAGAUACGGCCCAGACUCCUACGGGAGGCAGCAGUGGGGAAUAAUGCACAAUGGGCGGAAGCCUGAUGCAGCAACGCCGCGGGCGGGAUGACGGCCUUCGGGUUGGAAACCGCUUUCAGCAGGGGCGAAGCUUGUGGUGACGGUACCUGCAGAAGAAGCACCGGCUAACUACGUG